CAAUAGCGUAUAUUAAAGUUGUUGCGGUUAAAAAGCUCGUAGUUGGAUUUCUGCCGAGGACGACCGGUCCGCCCUCUGGGUGAGUAUCUGGCUCGGCCUGGGCAUCUUCUUGGAGAACGUAGCUGCACUUGAUUGUGUGGUGCGGUAUCCAGGACUUUUACUUUGAGGAAAUUAGAGUGUUUCAAGCAGGCUUACGCCUUGAAUACAUUAGCAUGGAAUAAUAAGAUAGGACCUCGGUUCUAUUUUGUUGGUUUCUAGAGCUGAGGUAAUGAUUAAUAGGGAUAGUUGGGGGCAUUCGUAUUUAACUGUCAGAGGUGAAAUUCUUGGAUUUGUUAAAGACGGACUACUGCGAANGNAUUUGCNAAGGAUGUUUNCAUUG
rnacentral:rRNA from 1 species